GUGGACUGUUAUAUGUGUUCCACUCAACCGGAAUGGCAGCUAUUUGGGGGAUAUAUGUGUUACACUUAUCAUGUCCAAAAUUUGUGUGUGGAUGGAGCUGGAACUGGAAGGUUAAUCAGGAUCGAUGAUACGUCAAGCAACUUUAAGAUAUUAUAUAUAUUUGGUAUAAAAAAAUUGUGGUUGUAUGGGGAUGUUCUCGAAUCAUCAUGCUCUGAGCUAAGAACCAGAUGGUAAACCCCAUGACCUCAUUGCAUUGUUGCAUAAAUCUGGGUGAGUUCAGUUCGGUCUUUAUUCCUUAGGUGUUCUUAUAUAUCAUGCCAAUUGUCAGAAUUUAGGAAUCAGAUAUUGUAGGUCAGCUUCAGCUAUAGUGCGAAUAUUGCAUUUGUGCUAAAUGCUCUUGAAAGUCCAGGUUCCCUUGAGGGUCGGAUCUCUAGGAUGGCCAUGAUAUGUACACCAUUGCAACAUCCCCUGUUCUAAACCUUUCUGUGGCUUUUACCUUCCCAGUUCUUCUCAGAAUGAACUGUUUUCAGCAUACUAUAUGGUUUCAAAUAUAUAAUUUUUAUAUGUCAUGUUAAACUUGUUAGUUAUUUUAGGGAAGGAGAAUGUUUUUUUCCAAGAUCCAAUGCAAGUGUCUUUAUUGUUUCUCAAAAAAAUUCAGUAGUGUACAAUAUAUGCAAGUUAACCCAUCACUGCCAAUAGCUCUUGCUCGUGCAGGCCUGUUCCAGUUUCUUGGAUUGAAGUACUUCAAUCACACUGGUAUUUAGUACAUUGUGAACUCAUUUUCAAUUUCGUGGAUCAACGUACUUCAAUUACAUUUGCAGUCUCUCAGUCUUGGUAUCUUUUUUUCCUUUGGUCAAAACACCUCCAUUUCUACUACUUAUGGAAAUUGGUUGCCUUGAUGUUGAUCUGUUCGAAGGAAAAAAUGCUUUGCGGAGUAGGAGUGGAUGAGUCAUUCCUGUAUCUUCAAUUACUUUGGUAUGUUCAAUCACUUUUUUUUCGUCGCAGGCUUUCGUUGAGAAGAAGUACGGAGGAAUGGCAGUCUGAAGCAUUGGAUGAUUGACAAGCUUGGUGGAGCAUUUGCACCCAAGCCUUCAUCUGGUCCCCACAAAGCCAGGGAGUGCUUGCCUUUGAUCCUUAUCCUCACGAACAGGUUGAAGUAUGCUCUGACCUAUCGUGAAGUUAUUUCAAUCUUGAUACAGCGUCAAGUUAUGGUUGAUGGCAAGGUCAGGACUGACAAGACAUAUCCAUUUGGAUUCAUGGAUGUUGUGUCGACCAAGAGUGCCCGUUGCAUGGACUGAAUUGGACAGGAAUACUGUAGUUGUCGACUCUGGUAACGCUAGCAGGACCGAGGCAGUGGCGCCAUGCAACCAGCUUCCCCCCUCGCAAGCCGACCUGCGCGUCCAGCUGAACCUCAGCGGAAAGGGGUUGUCCCAUCUAUGUAUUAUACUUGGAGUGGGAGAUAUGAUGGUGAAGAGAGCAUGCAUUAUCAGAAGAGGUGGAUUGAUUAGUUAUUACUUAGUUGGCUGCAUUGGUUAGGGGAAAGAAAACCUGCGUGCAUCUGGCUUUUUGGCAGCACUUGCUGUAUCCUUGAGCUCGUGGGGAUAGGUAGACUCCUAGACAGCUAUUGUAUUGCAGCAGCUCGCAGAUAUAUGCAGCUAGAUUAUUGGCAGAACGAACAAAGGUCUGCCGUGGAGUAUUUUUGUUUGCCCUACUGCAUAGACCGGGCGAGAAUAAAGUGAGCAAUCAAGACCUUGAGCCAUUCGCAUGCAUACAGUCGACCAGAAAUGCGCAAUGUCGAAGUCAAUGGCAAACAUCAAGCACUUGUGGACUGCUCCUUCAUGAUGCAUGUUUUACUAAACCAUAUGUUGGAAGAUAUUGAUCAUCAAGAGUUCGAUUUUGUUGGUAGUUGAUGAUUAUCUACUCAACUACGUAUUGGCUCCGUACUUGGGCUAUCCUUCAGAAGCAUACUUUGCAGGACAAGCUUGUAGCGGUCUCUCAUUUCUUGGCACAGGUGGCUAAGGUUUUUUUUCCC